ensembl:ncRNA lncRNA:CR43785 long non-coding RNA:CR43785
AACGACAUUUGUUAAAUGAAGUCAAAGCGACCAAUAAUCUUGACGAUUAAGUAAGAAUACAUUCGAAGUUGGCGUGGAGCUACCAAAAUAAGUACAGCUAAUUCAGUUUUGUGUGCUUUCCAAUCCAAGGCAAACAUUAUCAAAAAAUGGCCAAGAAGAUUUUGUCAGCGUCAUCCAAACUAAACAUCGACCAGAAUUAUCCAUCCGGGUUUAUAAAGCAAAUGGUAAUAAAUCCGGUUAUGAGCGCCAUGACAAUCCAGGAUGAGGAGGCCAAGAUGCAGAAGUUGAAAGAGAUUCUUCAGAUGCUAGAAGCGGUGAAUAAUAAAUUGAUGAGUCAGCUGCCUAUCGACGUUCUUAUAAAGAUGUUGUAAAUUAUUAAAUACAGCGAUGUGAUGGUAUUCACAUACGAUAACUGCUCUUGAAGUUUC